rnacentral:rRNA from 1 species
UACGUAGGCAGCAAGCGUUGUUCGGAAUUACUGGGCGUAAAGAGUGUGUAGGCGGUGCUCUAAGUUCGGUGUGAAAUCUCCCGGCUCAACUGGGAGGGUGCGCCGAAAACUGGAGUGCUGGAGUGCGGGAGAGGAAAGCGGAAUUCCUGGUGUAGCGGUGAAAUGCGUAGAUAUCUGGAGGAACACCGGUGGCGAAGGCGGCAUCCUGGACCGACACUGACGCUGAGGAGCGAAAGCCAGGGGAGCAAACGGG